rnacentral:lncRNA from 1 species
ACUAUCUCACCGUCACGGAGGUAAAGGUGGGUAGAAAACACAAAAGGACCAAUGGAGCAUAGUUUACAACAAAACUCGUUUAUUAACAUGAAAAACCUUUACUAUCCACUUAUCUCAGUGAAAUUCACAAAAACAAUAUACGAAAGCAAUAACAUUAUCAUCAUCACGAAAUCAUAGAAACUGUAUAACAUAAUACUUAUCACGCCUUUUUCAUCUCAAUCAUUACACAACAUAUUUUUUCUUUAUUUACUAGCCUACUAGUA